UACACGUAAGCAACCUGCCUUUAAGACGAGAAUAACAAUUGGAAACAGUUGCUAAGGCUGGAUAGGAAAUAAAAAGGCAUCUUUUUAUUUUUAAAAGACCUUUUUCGGAAGGUAUGCUUAAAGAGGGGCUUGCGUCACAUUAGUUAGUUGGUAGGGUAAAGGCCUACCAAGACGAUGAUGUGUAGCUGGACUGAGAGGUUGAACAGCCACAUUGGGACUGAGACACGGCCCAAACUCCUACGGGAGGCAGCAGUAGGGAAUUUUCGGCAAUGGAGGAAACUCUGACCGAGCAACGCCGCGUGAACGACGAAGUACUUCGGUAUGUAAAGUUCUUUUAUUGAAGAAGAAACAAUAGUGGAAAAACUAUCUUGACGUUAUUCAAUGAAUAAGCCCCGGCUAACUAUGUGCCAGCAGCCGCGGUAAUACAUAGGGGGCGAGCGUUAUCCGGAAUUAUUGGGCGUAAAGGGUGCGUAGGCGGUUUAAUAAGUCUCUAGUUUAAUUUCAACGCUUAACGUUGUCCUGCUAGAGAAACUGUUUAACUAGAGUGAGAUAGAGGUAAGCGGAAUUCCAUGUGUAGCGGUAAAAUGUGUAAAUAUAUGGAGGAACACCAGAGGCGUAGGCGGCUUACUGGGUCUUUACUGACGCUGAUGCACGAAAGCGUGGGGAGCAAACAGGAUUAGAUACCCUGGUAGUCCACGCCGUAAACUAUGAGUACUAAGUGUCGGGGUUAAACUCGGUACUGAAGUUAACACAUUAAGUACUCCGCCUGAGUAGUACGUACGCAAGUAUGAAACUUAAAGGAAUUGACGGGAUCCCGCACAAGCGGUGGAUCAUGUUGUUUAAUUCGAAGAUACACGAAAAACCUUACCAGGUCUUGACAUACUCUGCAAAGCUAUAGAAAUAUAGUGGAGGUUAUCAGGGAUACAGGUGGUGCAUGGUUGUCGUCAGCUCGUGUCGUGAGAUGUUAGGUUAAGUUCUAAAACGAGCGCAACCCCUGUCGUUAAUUGCCAGCACGUUAUGGUGGGGACUUUAGCGAGACUGCCAAUGAAAAAUUGGAGGAAGGUGGGGAUUACGUCAAAUCAUCAUGCCCCUUAUGAUCUGGGCUACAAACGUGAUACAAUGGCUAUUACAAAGAGUAGCUGAAACGCGAGUUUUUGGCAAAUCUCAAAAAAAUAGUCUCAGUUCGGAUUGAAGUCUGCAACUCGACUUCAUGAAGUUGGAAUCGCUAGUAAUCGCGAAUCAGCAUGUCGCGGUGAAUACGUUCUCGGGGUUUGUACACACCGCCCGUCAAACCACGAAAGUGGACAAUACCCGAAAGCGACAGCCUA
rnacentral:rRNA from 1 species